rnacentral:rRNA from 1 species
CUGAACGCUAGCGGCAGGCUUAAUACAUGCAAGUCGAACGGUAACAGGUCUUCGGACGCUGACGAGUGGCGCACGGGUGAGGAACACGUACACAAUCUACCUUAUACUGGAGAAUAGCCCCGGGAAACUGGGGAUUAAUACUCCAUAGUCUUUAAUGAUCACAUGAGAAAUAAAGUAAAGCUUCGGCGGUAUAAGAUGAGUGUGCGUCCCAUUAGAUUGUUGGUGAGGUAACGGCUCACCAAGUCGACGAUGGGUAGCUGGCGUGAGAGCGCGACCAGCCACACUGGCACUGAGACACGGGCCAGACUCCUACGGGAGGCAGCAGUAGGGAAUAUUGGUCAAUGGACGAAAGUCUGAACCAGCCAUGCCGCGUGGAGGAUGACUGCCCUCUGGGUUGUAAACUCCUUUUAUAUGGGAAGAAACCUCUGGAUUCACUCCAGAGCUGACGGUAUCAUAUGAAUAAGCACCGGCUAACUCCGUG